GCACCCUGGCUCUGUGAGCUGCGGAUGCGCAGGAACAGGGGAGGAGAAUCCCAGGCUGCGAUCUGCUGGCAGCUCCUGUGCCACCUCUGGAGUCCUGAGCUGACACAACGCGGGAGGUCUGAGCGUGCCGGAAACGAGAGAGCUUUUAAAUAAUUGCAUGAAUGGAAGAAAAAUUGCUAAUCAGGAGUCUAUUGAUGGGCACACAAUUCACAAUCAUUCCAUCUGCAGUGCCUGGAGCUGCGCUGCUGCCUUCGGUGCAGCAGGGAAAACCUGGCUGCCGGGAGGCUGGGAAAGAAGCCUGGAGGAGAUAGGAUGAGGGAGAACUUGGGCAUUUUCCUUGGAUGUUUACUCUCUGCCUGACCCCGGUGCCUUCAUUUGCUGCCUGGGUUUAGAAAAGCUGAGGCAGCCUGGUGUGAGGGUGGCUGAGUGGGAGGAGGUCUCUGAGAAACGAUGAAACCAGGAAAGCUGAGGCCAAAUUCCUGGAAAUAAAAGCCUGAGGACUCAUCAGUCACGGUCCUGGAAGGCUGCAAGUAUGAAGUCCUGAUUAUCUUUAUGAGGAAUUCGUGACUGAAUGCACCUUCGGUGGUAUUUUGGGAUAAUGAGAAUUAAUAUUCAUCAACAGUCGUAAAUGAGAAUUUGUAACAACAACCAAAGGAAAGCUUGUUUGAGAUCUGUAAUGAUAAUGUUCUUUCACAGCUGCUUUUGUGAGGGGGGAAUAAUUUAGCAGCACUAGAGCUGAUGUUGAC